rnacentral:rRNA from 1 species
GAUGAACGCUGGCGGCGUGCCUAAUACAUGCAAGUCGAGCGAACAGACGAGGAGCUUGCUCCUCUGACGUUAGCGGCGGACGGGUGAGUAACACGUGGAUAACCUACCUAUAAGACUGGGAUAACUUCGGGAAACCGGAGCUAAUACCGGAUAAUAUAUUGAACCGCAUGGUUCAAUAGUGAAAGACGGUUUUGCUGUCACUUAUAGAUGGAUCCGCGCCGCAUUAGCUAGUUGGUAAGGUAACGGCUUACCAAGGCAACGAUGCGUAGCCGACCUGAGAGGGUGAUCGGCCACACGGGAACUGAGACACGGUCCAGACUCCUACGGGAGGCAGCAGUAGGGAAUCUUCCGCAAUGGGCGAAAGCCUGACGGAGCAACGCCGCGUGAGUGAUAAAGGUCUUCGGAUCGUAAAACUCUGUUAUUAGGGAAGAACAAAUGUGUAAGUAACUAUGCACGUCUUGACGGUACCUAAUCAGAAAGCCACGGCUAACUACGUG